UGGGGAAUAUUGGACAAUGGGGGCAACCCUGAUCCAGCAAUGCCGCGUGUGUGAAGAAGGUCUUCGGAUUGUAAAGCACUUUCGACGGGGACGAUGAUGACGGUACCCGUAGAAGAAGCCCCGGCUAACUUCGUGCCAGCAGCCGCGGUAAUACGAAGGGGGCUAGCGUUGCUCGGAAUGACUGGGCGUAAAGGGCGUGUAGGCGGUUUACACAGUCAGAUGUGAAAUCCCCGGGCUUAACCUGGGAGCUGCAUUUGAUACGUGUAGACUAGAGUGUGAGAGAGGGUUGUGGAAUUCCCAGUGUAGGGGUGAAAUUCGUAGAUAUUGGGAAGAACACCGGUGGCGAAGGCGGCAACCUGGCUCAUGACUGACGCUGAGGCGCGAAAGCGUGGGGAGCAAACAGGAUUAGAUACCCGUGGUAGUCCACGCUGUAAACGAUGUGUGCUAGAUGUUGGGUAACUUUGUUAUUCAGUGUCGCAGUUAACGC
rnacentral:rRNA from 1 species